AAAAACAGAUCCACCCAAGACCCCAGCACCCUUGUCAUCACCGGGCCUACUACGACCCCACCGCGGUCAGCCGCUGGUGUAGUAGGAGGAGCUUACACCUCAGCUGCUCCAGAAACUCCUGUCCCUGCGACAAAAACUCCUGUCCCUGCAGCAACAAAUCUUCUCCCUGUGACACCAGCGACUGCUUCUGCGGCAACAGCUUCUGUCCCUGAGACAAAAACGCCUGUCGUUGUGAUAGCAGCGACUGCUUCUGUGGCAACAGCUUCUGUCCCUGAGACAAAAACGCCUGUCGUUGUGAUAGCAGCGACUGCUUCUGUUGCACCAGACGUUGUCACUGCUCCUCGUGCUAAGGGGCAUGAAACCACCACUCAGCCAGCAGGUACUGAGGUCACAGCCGAGGCGACAAAAGCAAUGAUAACGGGGGAAAAUGAUGAGUUCGUUGGAAGCGACCAAGAACACGACUCAAGCACUGGCAAGGUGAUCGGCAUUGUGAUCGGCGCCCUGGUGUCGGUGGCCAUCAUCGUCGCCGUGGUGCUUGCCUUUCUGAGGAGAAUGGGCAAAUACUCCCCCUGAGGAAAAAGUCGGCCAAGCAGCAGGAACGAGCGAAGUUCUGGAAAUUCUGAACUACUGAACUGUGACGACUCCUCUGAUCAUUAAAGCAAGCACGACACCAGAACUAAACUAAUCUAACCUGGACUCUGGACUGUUGCCAAGAAAGUAAAAAAAAAAAAGAAAAAGAAAAAAAAAGGAGGGAGAAGGGGCAGGUUUGUGUGUGUUAAUGUAUAUACUGAAUGUACGCGAGACAAGAGGGGUAGAUGUGCCAACAUCCUCACCUCCCCUGCUAACCUCUCUGAUCCCUAGGAGCUGCUGAUAUAAAAGGCUCCGACUCCCCCACGCACCCCUUGAAGAGAACAAAACAAUGUGACAGCUGGAUGUCACAAAGAAUUUCAGGGCUUUUCAAAUGUAUUUUGUAGGGAAAAGAAAAACGAGAGAGCAGAAGGGGAUUAUCUGAAAUGUAGGGGAAAGAAAAAAAAUACUCUCCUUGAACGUUACGUAGUGACUGAUUUAGAUUAAUGUCGAAGUUGGAGGUGAGACGAUUUUUAAAAAAAAUAAAUAAAAAUGGAAAAAGCUAACAAAAUGUGUCGCACAAAGAAGGAAAGAAAGCAGGAAAACUUUUUACAAAUUCCACAGAUGUAUAUACAAUCCUAAGGGGCCUACAAUAGUAUACGGCUAAUAACUUUCUCAUAUGUUGCAGUUGCAUAGGUUAGCAUUUGAUAUUAUCGAUGAUUACGCGAGCGGCCUUAGGCUAUUGUUGCGGCUGAGCACCGGUUCGAGCAUUUUCUCCCUGACUUGUCGGCCAACUGUAUGAAGCACCGCGUGCAGAAGUUGUCCUGACAUAACGCUCAUGAGCUCCGAGGGGUUAGCCCGACGAGGAGUUAAAAAAAAAGAAAAAAAAAAGGGCGCCCUCAUUUGCAAGAGUAACGUGACAUUCUGCCCACUUUAACACUGACGUAUAAAAACCUAAUACAUAUCUGUGAAAUUUAGCAGAAGGGUUUGUGCCACUGUCUCUGGUAUUCUCUAGCUAGCUAGGAGGAUUUUAACUUUUGAAGUGCGUUAUUAAUGUGAAUUGUGACCGCCACCCCCAUUCCAGCCAACUUGGAUGACAGCUUGGCUUGUUCAUUAUGAAGGUUUUCACACUGACAGUGGUUGUUGGACACAGCGACAGCGUUGUCCUGACGAUGCAUUCGUAGUACCUCUGUUAAUAAUUCGAUUACCAGAACAGCCGCCCAGUGUUUAAAUUCAACUAACCCCAGAUUCCGUUCAUAGACAUGACAUUUUUUUAGUUGCACUUAGUUUCACAGUGCACAGUGUUAGGCAGUUUGCUCUCUUUUGUUAUUUUUGCAAUUGUUCGUGUGCUUAAUGGAUGUGCUGGUGAUUGAGUCUCAGCAUCGCCCCCCCCCGCUUGCUUUUCAGACUUAAUAUGUGCACUGAAUGAGAGGUGUGUUAUGUUUAAUGACUAGGCUUUAGACACUGCAAAUGUUUGCAACGAUAUAAAGUACGUCCGUCUCCUCCCUUCUGCUUUUGCCACAUUACAAUAGUGCCAUCUCAAGUCUUUUAAUUUGUGCAUUGUGAUUUGUGGAAACCUUUAAUUUAAUUGCAGUGUUUCUGUCCUGUUUCAAUAAAAACUCAAAAACGCAAAA